rnacentral:rRNA from 1 species
GACGAACGCUGGCGGCGUGCUUAACACAUGCAAGUCGAACGGAAAGGCCCUGCUUUUGUGGGGUGCUCGAGUGGCGAACGGGUGAGUAACACGUGAGUAACCUGCCCUUGACUUUGGGAUAACUUCAGGAAACUGGGGCUAAUACCGGAUAGGAGCUCCUGCUGCAUGGUGGGGGUUGGAAAGUUUCGGCGGUUGGGGAUGGACUCGCGGCUUAUCAGCUUGUUGGUGGGGUAGUGGCUUACCAAGGCUUUGACGGGUAGCCGGCCUGAGAGGGUGACCGGCCACAUUGGGACUGAGAUACGGCCCAGACUCCUACGGGAGGCAGCAGUGGGGAAUAUUGCACAAUGGGCGGAAGCCUGAUGCAGCAACGCCGCGUGCGGGAUGACGGCCUUCGGGUUGUAAACCGCUUUCGCCUGUGACGAAGCGUGAGUGACGGUAAUGGGUAAAGAAGCACCGGCUAACUACGUGCCAGCAGCCGCGGUGAUACGUAGGGUGCGAGCGUUGUCCGGAUUUAUUGGGCGUAAAGGGCUCGUAGGUGGUUGAUCGCGUCGGAAGUGUAAUCUUGGGGCUUAACCCUGAGCGUGCUUUCGAUACGGGUUGACUUGAGGAAGGUAGGGGAGAAUGGAAUUCCUGGUGGAGCGGUGGAAUGCGCAGAUAUCAGGAGGAACACCAGUGGCGAAGGCGGUUCUCUGGGCCUUUCCUGACGCUGAGGAGCGAAAGCGUGGGGAGCGAACAGGCUUAGAUACCCUGGUAGUCCACGCUGUAAACGGUGGGUACUAGGUGUGGGGUCCAUUCCACGGGUUCCGUGCCGUAGCUAACGCUUUAAGUACCCCGCCUGGGGAGUACGGCCGCAAGGCUAAAACUCAAAGGAAUUGACGGGGCCCCGCACAAGCGGCGGAGCAUGCGGAUUAAUUCGAUGCAACGCGUAGAACCUUACCUGGGUUUGACAUGGAUCGGGAGUGCUCAGAGAUGGGUGUGCCUCUUUUGGGGUCGGUUCACAGGUGGUGCAUGGCUGUCGUCAGCUCGUGUCGUGAGAUGUUGGGUUAAGUCCCGCAACGAGCGCAACCCUUGUUCACUGUUGCCAGCACGUUACGGUGGGGACUCAGUGGAGACCGCCGGGGUCAACUCGGAGGAAGGUGGGGAUGACGUCAAGUCAUCAUGCCCCUUAUGUCCAGGGCUUCACGCAUGCUACAAUGGCUGGUACAGAGAGUGGCGAGCCUGUGAGGGUGAGCGAAUCUCGGAAAGCGGGUCUCAGUUCGGAUUGGGGUCUGCAACUCGACCUCAUGAAGUCGGAGUCGCUAGUAAUCGCAGAUCAGCAACGCUGCGGUGAAUACGUUCCCGGGGCU